rnacentral:rRNA from 1 species
UAAUACGUAUGGUGCGAACGUUGUUCGGAAUCACUGGGCAUAAAGAGCACGUAGGCGGUUCGGUUAGUCUGUAUGUGAAAUCCCUCGGCUCAACCGAGGAACUGCAUCGGAAACUCCCGAACUAUAGUGCAGGAGGGGAGAGCGGAAUUCCUGGUGGAGCGGUGAAAUGCGUAGAUAUCAGGAGGAACGCCGGUGGCGAAAGCGGCUCUCUGGUCUGCUACUGACGCUGAGGUGCGAAAGCCAGGGGAGCGAACGGGAUUAGAUACCCCGGUAGUCCUGGCCCUAAACGAUGGGCACUAGGUAGGGGGAGUACCGAUACUUUCUCUGCUGUAGCUAAUGUAUUAAGUGCCCCGCCUGGGGAGUAUGGUCGCAAGGCUA